UACGUAGGGGGCUAGCGUUGUCCGGAAUCAUUGGGCGUAAAGCGCGCGUAGGCGGCCCGGUAAGUCCGCUGUAAAAGUCAAAGGCUCAACCUUUGAAUGUCAGUGGAUACUGCCGGGCUAGAGUCCGGAAGAGGCGAGUGGAACUCCUGGUGUAGCGGUGGAAUGCGCAGAUAUCAGGAAGAACACCGACGGCGAAGGCAGCUCGCUGGGACGGUACUGACGCUGAGGCGCGAAAGCGUGGGGAGCAAACGGG
rnacentral:rRNA from 1 species